rnacentral:rRNA from 1 species
UACGAAAGGGGCUAGCGUUGUUCGGAAUUACUGGGCGUAAAGCGCACGUAGGCGGCCUUGUAAGUUGGGGGUGAAAUCCCCGGGCUCAACCCGGGAACUGCCUUCAAGACUGCAAAGCUAGAGGAUGUGAGAGGUUGGCGGAAUUCCGAGUGUAGAGGUGAAAUUCGUAGAUAUUCGGAAGAACACCAGUGGCGAAGGCGGCCAACUGGCGCAUUUCUGACGCUGAGGUGCGAAAGCGUGGGGAGCAAACAGG